GUGAGGAAUAUUGCGCAAUGGAGGCAACUCUGACGCAGCCAUGCCGCGUGCAGGAAGAAGGCGCUACGCGUUGUAAACUGCUUUUAACCGGGAAGAAACCCCAGGACGUGUCCUGGGUUGACGGUACCGGAGGAAUAAGCACCGGCUAACUUCGUGCCAGCAGCCGCGGUAAUACGAAGGGUGCAAGCGUUAUCCGGAUGCAUUGGGUUUAAAGGGUGCGUAGGCGGAGCGUUAAGUCAGUGGUGAAAUCCUGCAGCUUAACUGUAGACUUGCCAUUGAUACUGGAGCUCUUGAGUGCGCUUGAAGUGGGCGGAAUGUGCCGUGUAGCGGUGAAAUGCUUAGAUAUGGCACAGAACACCAAUUGCGAAGGCAGCUCACUAAGGCGAUACUGACGCUGAGGCACGAAAGCGUGGGGAUCGAACAGGAUUAGAUACCCUUGUAGUCC
rnacentral:rRNA from 1 species